rnacentral:rRNA from 1 species
GACGAACGCUGGCGGCGUGCUUAACACAUGCAAGUCGAACGGAAAGGCCCUGCUUUUGUGGGGUGCUCGAGUGGCGAACGGGUGAGUAACACGUGAGUAACCUGCCCUUGACUUUGGGAUAACGUCAGGAAACUGGGGCUAAUACCGGAUAGGAGCUCCUGCUGCAUGGUGGGGGUUGGAAAGUUUCGGCGGUUGGGGAUGGACUCGCGGCUUAUCAGCUCGUUGGUGGGGUAGUGGCUUACCAAGGCCUUGACGGGUAGCCGGCCUGAGAGGGUGACCGGCCACAUUGGGACUGAGAUACGGCCCAGACUCCUACGGGAGGCAGCAGUGGGGAGUAUUGCACAAUGGGCGGAAGCCUGAUGCAGCAACGCCGCGUGCGGGAUGACGGCCUUCGGGUUGUAAACCGCUUUCGCCUGUGACGAAGCGUGAGUGACGGUAAUGGGUAAAGAAGCACCGGCUAACUACGUG